rnacentral:rRNA from 1 species
CCCUUAGAUGUUCUGGGCCGCACGCGCGCUACACUGAACAGUUCAACAAGUCUUAACCUUGGCCGAUAGGUCUGGGUAAUCUUUGAACGCUGUUCGUGAUUGGGAUAGACCUUUGCAAUUAUGGGUCUUCAACGAGGAAUUCCUAGUAAACGCAAGUCAUCAGCUUGCAUUGAUUACGUCCCUGCCCUUUGUACACACCGCCCGUCGCACCUACCGAUUGAAUGGUCCGGUGAAAUCUCGGGACGGCGGCUCGGUCGCUUGCGUCCGACUGCUGAAACUUGAUUAAACCAUAUCAUUUAGAGGAAGGUGAAGUCGUAACA